UACGGGGGGGGCGAGCGUUGUUCGGAAUUACUGGGCGUAAAGGGUGCGUAGGCGGUUUGCUAAGUUGGAUGUGAAAACUCUGGGCUUAACCCAGAGCCUGCAUUCAAAACUGACAAGCUAGAGUUCUGGAGGGGGUAGCGGAAUUCCUGGUGUAGCGGUGAAAUGCGUAGAUAUCAGGAGGAACACCGGUGGCGAAGGCGGCUACCUGGACAGAAACUGACGCUGAGGCACGAAAGCUAGGGGAGCAAACAGG
rnacentral:rRNA from 1 species